UUCGGGACGCAUCGGUUUCCAGCGAACGUGCCCUGCACUGUCCGCCCCACAGGCUUGCGGCCAGGCAGCAUUCGCGUCCGCACAUCGAGAAUCGUUUUCGGUCGAACCCUGCCGGAGAUCCGCUUCAGGGGGCCAAGAACGAAUCCCGAUUAAUACCCGAAGCCAGCCUCGAGAGGCUGGUACCCUUAGUAGAGUAUUUCGAUGCAUGGAAAAAUCUCACGAAUAUUUCUCCUUGGGUUCUGCGCACCAUUCAAAAGGGGUACAGACUACAGUUCGGUUCCCGCCCGCCAAAGUUCAACGGGGUGGUCGGGACUGUAGUCGACCCAGAGCAGAGUCGGGUAUUGGAACAAGAAGUAAGCUCUCUGCUGGUAAAGGAGGCUAUAGAACGUAUUCCUCCUCCAGACAGGGAGUCCGGGUUUUACAGCCGCUACUUCGUAGUUCCCAAGAAGGAUGGGGGGUUGCGUCCAAUAAUAGAUCUCAGGCACUUGAAUCGGUCUCUGAGGAGGUUCAGAUUCAAGAUGCUCACUAUUCCCAUCAUCGUGAACCAAAUUCAAUCCGAGGAUUGGUUUGUCACGAUAGAUCUGAAGGACGCAUACUUCCACAUUUCCAUCCUUCCAUCUCACAGGAAGUUCCUGAGGUUCGCUUUCGGGGGCGAGGCGUACCAAUAUCGGGUUCUUCCGUUCGGCUUAGCUCUCUCCCCUCGCACAUUUACAAAAUGUAUGGAUGCGGCUCUAGCACCGCUGAGGCUUCAGGGUUUCAGGGUCCUCAAUUACAUCGACGACUGGCUGAUUCUAGCCCAGUCACAAGAGCUGGCAGUUCAACAUCGAGAUGUUGUCCUUGCCCACAUCCAGAGCCUGGGGUUGAGACUCAACACGAAAAAGAGCGUGUUGGCACCAGCCCAAAGAACCACGUUCCUGGGAGUGGUGUGGGAUUCGGUCACGAUGCGGGCACAGUUGUCUCCUGCACGGAUCGAAUCCAUCCUGGCCACGGUGACCAGGAUAAAGCUAGGCCAGGCCAUCACUGUAAAACAUUUUCAGAGAGUGUUAGGUCUCAUGGCAGCAGCAUCCAAUAUCAUUCCAUUCGGUCUCCUGCACAUGAGGCCCUUGCAGUGGUGGUUGAAGACCAAGGGGUUCUCCCCGAGGGGAAACCCAUUUCGCAUGAUCAGGGUUACGCGCAGAUGCCUUCGUUCCCUAUCUAUGUGGAAGAGAGCUUGGUUUCUGUCCCGAGGUCCCGUGCUGGGAGCGUCAUGUCGCCGGAAAGCCGUCUCGACAGACGCCUCCCUCACGGGCUGGGGCGCGGUCAUGGACGGCCGCUUUACGAGAGGUCUAUGGCAAGACCGUCAUUCCUCCUGGCAUAUAAACUGCCUGGAGAUGUUGGCGGUGUUCCGAGCUCUGAGGAGCUUUCUGCCGGACCUCAAGGGUCAUCACGUCCUUGUGAGGACAGACAAUAUGUCGGUGGUGGCCUAUAUAAACCAUCAAGGGGGUCUGAGGUCUCGCCCUCUAUGCAGACUGGCACAUCAGAUCCUCCUGUGGUCCCAGGGGAAAUUGUUGUCUCUCAGAGCAACAUACAUCCCAGGGAGUCAGAAUCAGGGAGCAGAUAUCCUGUCGAGGCAGG
ensembl:lncRNA